CGCUCCGCGACUGAUAAUGGAUGGCCUCAAUCUCCCCAUGACUUGGAGAGCGAUUUACAUAAGACAUUCAAGGCUCAAUGAAUAAGCCCCAUUUCAGAGAAGACUUUGUUAUUUAAUUGAGAUGAAGAAAUCAACCAAUGUUAUCACAACACAAUGGAUCAAUGCGCCCCGGGAUGUAGAUCCUUUCACUAGUCACAGACUGUGUCAAGUAUUCGUGACCUCAGCUAAGAUGAGCAAUAGAAUGGAUAUAAAGACGAAUACAAGGACUUAAGAAUUAUUGUGGUCUUUAGCUCAGGAGUGUAAAUCAUGAGACAGAAGUGGAGCCAUCAUUUUACUUUUGUACGAGAUCCUUUUUGCUUUAUCAUUUGUUACGACAAUAAAUCCCAUUCUGCAGACGCCUCCUAUACGGAACACAAUCACAUUUUUGUCCCGC